rnacentral:misc_RNA from 1 species
GGACAGACUCAACACAAGGGAGGCUUAGUGGACAAGAUAAAGGACAAGAUCCAUGGAGGUGAGCAUGCUGAGGGUGAUAAGAAGAAGAAGAAUAAGAAGAAGGAAAAGAAGAAGGAUGGACAUGGCCAUGAACAUGGAAGCAGCAGUAGCAGCGACAGUGAUUAGAUCUCAUUAAUAUACCAAAAUCUAGGUGUAAUGGAGUGUGAAGAUAACCGAUCCUUUUGUGCCAGUUUAUGACAAAUACAGAAAUUGGUGGAAAAAGGAAAAUUA